CAGCCGCCGCGGGAAUACGAAGGGUGCAAGCGUUACUCGGAAUUACUGGGCGUAAAGCGUGUGUAGGUGGUUGUUUAAGUCUGUCGUGAAAGCCCUGGGCUCAACCUGGGAAUUGCGAUGGAUACUGGGCGACUAGAGUGCGGUAGAGGGUAGUGGAAUUUCCGGUGUAGCAGUGAAAUGCGUAGAGAUCGGAAGGAACAUCUGUGGCGAAGGCGGCCAUCUGGGCCAACACUGACGCUCAUGCACGAAAGCGUGGGGAGCAAACAGGAUUAGAUACCCCAGUAGUCCCUGUCUCUUAUAC
rnacentral:rRNA from 1 species